rnacentral:rRNA from 1 species
GACAGAGGUGCCGAGCGUUAGGCGGAAUCACUGGGCUUAAAGCGUGUGUAGGCGGAUCUGUAAGUACCUUGUGAAAUCCCACGGCUCAACCGUGGAACUGCUUGGUAUACUGCGGGUCUUGAGCCACCUAGGGGCAAGUGGAACAAACGGUGGAGCGGUGAAAUGCGUAGAUAUCGUUUGGAACGCCAAUGGUGAAAACAACUUGCUGGGGGUGUGCUGACGCUGAGACACGAAGCCAGGGGAGCAAACGGG